GAUCCUGGCUCAGGACGAACGCUGGCGGCGCGCCUAACACAUGCAAGUCGAACGAGAGAAGAAGAGCUUGCUUUUCUGAUCGAGUGGCGAACGGGUGAGUAACGCGUGAGGAACCUGCCUCAAAAGAGGGGGACAACAGUUGGAAACGACUGCUAAUACCGCAUAAGCCCACGGCUCGGCAUCGAGCAGAGGGAAAAGGAGCAAUCCGCUUUGAGAUGGCCUCGCGUCCGAUUAGCUAGG
rnacentral:rRNA from 1 species